GGAGAUGGAUGGGCCCUGGUGGGUCCCGCGGCCUUCAAAGCCGUUGUGGGGCGCGCAGAACGUCUCGGAUGUGUUCGAUUCGCAUGCAUCUCCGCCA
rnacentral:tRNA from 1 species